ACUUUGGACCGGUGCCAGCCGUGUCAUCCGUCCUGCAGAUUCGCAGCCCCAGGCUUUGCAGAAGAACUGAUCUGGCCCCCCACAUUCACGUUUCUUCUGGUGAAGCUUCUGGACAGACAUAGAAAUACUGCUUACGUGUGUCACGUCGAGCUCCUGGAGUCUUGCAUCCAUAUCCAGGAAAAGGCUGUUGGUCAGACGGAUCCCAAUCCAUGGUGACCAGGUCGCAAAGGUCAACCAGUAAGUCCGCGAACCAGGUGGUGGGGGAAGCCAGCUUGGAAGUGGAAUUUGCUAUGGUGUCUGUCAUCGUAUUGUAGAUGGUCCAGGUCACAUUUAAUGGCUGGUGUGGACUCACCCUAGUAGUGAUCUGUCGGGACAAAAACUAAUAAACAAAUUAGAUGUAUGGCAGUCAGUUUCUAAUGUUUUGGUCCCUUGCAUCGGGGGCAUCUAUCCUUGGUGUCUGGCCUCUUUUUUUUGUUAUCCAAAGCUUGAGUGGGUUGGUUGGGUGUCACUGGAUUUUUUAGUCCGUUUGGGGCGUUGUCUCUGUUGCCUUGACAUGGUUGUGAUGAAUUCAUGUUGGAACCCCAUCGACCUUUAUAGCCGAUGGGGUCACAAGGAUCAUGGUGUGAGGCCCUUUCCAACGGGGUUCAAGGUUCUCAGUUCGAUGUCUCUUUAGCAGCAUUGAAUCACUCGGCUGGAAUGGAUGGGCCUCUGGUCACGGUGUUAUUCCUGUAAAGAUGUGACUAAUGUAUCUGUUGGAGCAAACUUUGUGCAUACAAAUGUGACUUUCCAGGACAUUUGAGAAGUAUGGAAGAGAAAACUCCAUGACUCUGACAUCCCCAAGACCCCUCCGCAUCACUGCCCUCCCUGACGAAGACAGGCCUGCAGGUUUCCCAACGUGGAUUGCAGAACCCCUCUGUUCUUUGCUUUAUUUAUUUUCAGUUGACAAACAAUAAUUGUCGACUGUUAUUAGAAUAUUAUUACCCAUCGUUUCACUGGUUCCUUUUUGUGUGAGCAUUUUAGAAGUCUGUUGUUGUAGUGCUGCUGAACUAGACAUCAGUUUUUAACUGUGGUCGCCACACAGGUCAGCAGAUCAGUAACACUGACCCCUUCCAUCUGAGUCUUAACCUUUUGUCUACACUACUCUUUCUCCCAUUCUUCCCCUUGUCCAGCCUCUGGUAAUCACCUUUCUACUCUGAAAUGGAUUUUUAAAGAUUUCAUCUAAAUGAGAUCACAUAGUAUUGGCCUCUCUGCUUGACUUUUUUUGUAAAUGCUCAUGACCGAGCAUAACGUCAGCACUUCCUUCUUUUUUCCAGACAGUACGCUAUUCCAUCGUGGAGGCAUGCCACGUUUUCUUCUAUCGAUGGGCACCCAGACUGCUUAAA